rnacentral:sRNA from 1 species
UCUCUCCGUACGGGAAGGAUGAGAAGCUUCGACUAAGGUUCGAUUCGAGCGCAGCGAGAAAGCGUUGCCGCAGGCAACGACCCGAAGGGCGAAGCGCGCAGCGCUGAGUCAUCCUUCCCCCACCACCA